rnacentral:rRNA from 1 species
UACGGAGGGUGCAAGCGUUAUCCGGAUUCACUGGGUUUAAAGGGUGCGUAGGAGGACAGGUAAGUCAGUGGUGAAAUCUCCAAGCUUAACUUGGAAACUGCCGUUGAUACUAUCUGUCUUGAAUACCGUGGAGGUGAGCGGAAUAUGUCAUGUAGCGGUGAAAUGCUUAGAUAUAACAUAGAACACCAAUUGCGAAGGCAGCUCGCUACACGAAUAUUGACUCUGAGGCACGAAAGCGUGGGGAUCAAACAGG